UGUAAAAUACUAUUUCGGCCACAUAUGGACGAGUUGGUACAGUUAUAAUCAGCACAUUAAAGGACAAUUGGGAUAAAAUACGGGAUUGCAAACUCCCGCUCUCUCUCUCUCUCGAACCUGUCUAUGGGUGUGGAUCCAGAUUUCCCAGCGUCUUUGUGUUGAAAACCUAAAGUAACUGCCGCCUCUCACAGCCCAAGGCCAAGAUCACAAACAACAACAGGCACACUGGCUAAAGCCUUGUUUAUUCGACGAACAGCGUAGUACUGUACUGACCUACAGCCCCGAAAAUGGUUCCUGAAGCUUCGGAUCCGUCCGUAGCGGCGGGUUGUGGAUUGUGCUGUGAACUCUCUCUGCCAUGCUGCCUGAUGCGUUGAAAUGUGGAAUUACAUCGGAAAAGGUGAAAGCACCCUGCUGGAGUUUUGGAAACAAACCAGAGAGCGAUAGUUUGUGCAUUCCCAAUUUGAGGUAUACAAAGAGUAACUGAGUGGCAUGAGUGGACAUUGGACGCUGUAAAAUGACGCUGGCAAUUGAGUAAAGAGGAACAAAGAAACGGCAGAUGAGCUGAAUAACACGAGUCUACCCAAAGAAAAACGAAGACUUCCCUGGCAGAGUGCACACCAUUUAUCUGCUUACCAAUGCUGCC